CGAUUGGUAGACGAUGGCGACAUGUUCACCGUCGUCGCCGGCGACGACGAGGUUGAGUUCGAAGCGCAGCUUGUCGA
rnacentral:tRNA from 1 species